GGUGUGAACCUGGGAGGUGGAGGUUGCAGUGAGCUGAGAUCGCGCCACUGUACUCCAGCCUGGGUGAAAGAGCAAGACUCUGUCUCAAAAAAAAAAAAAAAAAAAAAAGAGCAGUGAGGCCAGACACAAUGGUUUCUUUCUUUCUGAUAAAUAAAAGCCCAUAUUUGUAAAGAGUCCAGCAUAUCGGAAGUGUCCCUUAGAUGUUAGGUUCUGGCCAAGGACCCCCAGUGCCUAGCAAAGUGGGCAUCCAAUAAAUGUGGGUUGAACAGACAAAUAAAUUUAGAGGACUUCGCUUACGGCUCUGGCAAUCUUGACCUAAAAAAUUAAUGAAAUGUGUAAAAAUGUACUCCAAAAAUUCCAGCAAUAUGCUAUUGGUUAGCUUAUGCCUUUAUUCCCCACCUCAUUCCAACAAUAUGAAAUUGGUGUAGUUUUGUUUGUAAAGAAAUGUCAGGAUAGGCAGGAUGUGGUGGCUCACGCCUGUAAUCCCAGCACUUUGGGAGGCCAGGAGGGCGGAUCAUUUGAGCUCAGGAGUUCGAGACCAGCCUGGCCAACAUAGCAAAACCCUAUCUCUACAAAAAAUACCAGAAAAAUUAGCUGGGCGUGGUGGUGUGUGCCUGUAGUCCCAGCUACUUGGCAGGCUGAGGUGGGAGGAUUGUUUGAGCCCAGGAGGUUGAGGCUACCGUGACCUAGGAUUGCACCACUGCACUCCAGCCUGGGUGACAAAAGUGAGACCCUGUCUCAAAAAAAAGAAAAAAGUCCGGGUGUGGUGGCUCAUGCCUGUAAUCCCAGCACUUUGGGAGGCCAAGGUGGGCAGACCACCUGACGUCAGGAGUUCGAGACCAGCCUGGCCAACAUGGUGAAACCCUGUCUCUACUAAAAAUACAAAAAAAUAAAGUUAGCCAGGUGUGUUGGCAUGUGCCUGUAAUCCCAGCUACUCGGGAGGCUGAGAGGCAGGAGAAUCACCUGAAUCUGGGAGGUGGAGGUUGCAGUGAGCCGAGAUCACACCAUUGCACUCCAGCCUGGGUGACAGAGUGACUCCAUCUCAAAAAAAAAAAAAAAAAAACACAGAAAUGUCAGGAUGAGUAAGCUGAGUACAGAGUAAAACUUGACAUUAAGAAGAAAAUCUGCCCCAGCUGAGUGGCCAGGGGAACCUCAGCUCCAGCUGUUCAUUGUGUUGGGCAGCAGUGGUGGGAGGGGUGCCGGGGUGCUUUGCAGAAAAAAGAAUCGCAGCUGCAAAUACAAAUUGCAUAUUCCUAGACCUUUGAAAGAUAACAAAGACUUCUGCCCUCAACUGAUGAUGUCCUGUGUUAAAAUCACUUGGCUAGGUAGUUAAAACUGUUUGAAAUGACCUGGUCACUUUCUGAUGUGGACGUGCAAUACACAUGUAAAGCUGGGUACCAGAUUUGACUCUUGUAAACUUCAACCAGGUAGUUUUGAAAACACCCUAGAAGUGAACAACCUUGAAUGUCCUGAAGAUGUGGGAGUGUUCGACAAGAUUCAGGCAGCUGCAGAAUGAGGACGGUUGUCAGUGGGUGACGUGUUCAAGCUGCUCAGGCCCCUCACCGGGAUGAGCAGAAAGGUCAGCAUUUUCUUAGCCCAGGGAGGCUUAGUACUCUUGAGGCAAAGAAAUCCUGCAGCAUAAGUAAGAUCCAGCGCAGAGAAUACCCGAGGGUGAACCGUGAUGAGAAGUCUCAGAGCGCACUGCGUAAUUACCACGUGUAGAAAGCAAAACGUUGACAAGACACGGCCGUUAGCAAAAAGCCGAACGGUUACUACGCUCAACGAGAAAAGGAAACUGGGAGGGUUGAAAAAAAGAAACGAAUAAUUGGCAAAUUCCAAGAGGCUCUUUCAGGAAGAGACAGUUGGGUGGUUUUGUGAAAGCAGAGGUGACUCUUGGACCACAAACAUGAAGCCCACAGGGAGAGCCGGGUGAAAAAGGAAGGACAGAAGCUAAACAGCCAAAGAAAACCCAAAGCGUACUUCAGACAUGCCAAGGCCAAGAGGCUCUGUAUCUAAAAAGGAGCCCAAGUGAGUAGGACCAGUUGGAAGGCACACUUAAGAGUGUAAGCAAGACUCACAGGAACCUACUGUGUCUCGCCUUGGACUUCAAGCUGAUGCUAAGAUGGCGUUUCACACCCUGAGUGGGGAAACGAAGGAAACUGACGGGGGUGCUGAAAUUAAACAUCCCUCCUCUGGACCUCCAGGCUGCACCCCACCCUCGGCCACAUCAAUGGCACAGGACUUAAAACUGGACGCUCUCUAUCCACUGGUAGCUCAUGCAUUCCAGAAUCAACCUACACAGAUCAUGCUCCUCCCUCAGUGCCUGAGAGUUCUGCACAGGACGCUCUCAGAAUCUAGAGGCUCCAGGCUGGGGCCAGGUCCAAGUCCCAGUUGACACCUCAGUGCCUGAGUGUUCUGCACAGGACGCUCUCAGAAUCUAGAGGCUCCAGGCUGGGGCCAGGUCCAAGUCCCAGUUGACACACUAUCUCCAGCCCAGGCCAGGGCUUCCCUGGUAAAUCAAUCUCUGAAGGCAGUCAUGGUACCAGCCUCAGUUUUAUUUAUUUAUUUAUUUAUUUAUUUAUUUAUUUAUUUAUUUAUUUAGAGAAGGAGUUUCGCUCUUGUUGCCCAGGCUGGAGUACAGUGGUGUGAUCGCAGCUCACUGCAACCUCUGCCUCUUGGGUUCAAGCGAUUCUCCUGCCUCAGCCUCCUGAGUAGCUGAGAUUACAGGCGUGCAACCACCAUGCUCAGCUAAUUUUUGUAUCAGCCUCAGUAUUAUUUUAAAGGAACUUAAAAUGGUUAAACUUUAAAAUGGGGUGAAAUGAGGCAGUCCCCAGGAUGGCCAGACAUUUAUGGGGCUGUAAGGUUCCCAAUGUGAUGCCUGUCCGGGGAAUGACUCCGGAGAGUCCUGGGACCCAACUGCCACAGCGUCUCCUAUCUCUCCUGGGAAAACUGGGAGGAUGGAUAAGUGACAGUGGAGGCAGAGAAACUUCAGUUUAGCUGCUCAGCAUUUUCCCUAACUCACUCAUGAUAACUACAUACCCAGUUCCAUCCUAACUCGGAACAGCCAGAUCCCACUGAAAACCCUGGGUCACUGGAACAGGAAGACAAGAGCCACAUUUGAAACUGCCUCUGCUCUAGGUCAUCAGCUUUCUCUAAUUUGGUGUCCCUGCCCCAUCAGCUCUGUGCAGAAGAGCACAUUGUGGCUGGGGGUUAAGAACAAAUAAGACAGUGCUGGCUGUGAGACCCUGGCUGGGUUACUUAACCUCCUUGAAACUGCAGAACAAGGAUAUGAAGGCAUGACUUCACUGGGCUACUGUGAGAAUGAUGAGAAUAAUGCAUUAAGCCCACGGCAGGGUGCCUGGCACACACGGAGCACUCCGGGGAGCUAUUGUUCUCACUCCUCAUUAGAAGGGACAAACCUGAGAUGAAGCUCUUAUUUGGCAAGGUCUGGGUGAUCUGGUGCACUCAGGCCUCUCAAUUUAUAUGAAAAGUCAGAAUUCAAUUAAGGGAAGAUGACAUAAACCCAAGAAAAGCCUGCUAGAGAUUUGCCCAGGAAUAGCCCUCUCCCCUGUCACCUGCCUGAUGGGGAGCUGCUGAAUUUUCACAGCAUCAUCCUCAAGGCUCUCACAGAUCAGAGCAGAAUCCCUGACCCCAGACCCGGAAUCUCUAAAUUUGCGUGUGACCUCCUCUCCCUUUGUGGCACAUGAAGAUUUCUAGUGAUCUCUCCAGGCAGAAUACAGUAUUCCUUCCUUUCCCUCACCGCCACCGCCAUCAGACGCCAAUUAUAUUCAAUGUUUUCCUUAAAAUGCAACAUGAGACCUAUCGUUGAAGUCUUGCACCAAUUUUCUCUUCUUAUCCCCAAACUCAGAUUUGCACAGCAGGCCGCCACUUUAUAGACAAAACGGUGCGUGGAGUUUGAAGCACACAUAUAUGCCUAUGACUCUUUAAAAAAAAAAAAAACGCUUUGAGGUAUGAUUGACAUGAACAACUGUACAUAUUUAAUGUAUACAUUCAAUGAAUGUAAAUUCAAGGAGGCACCAGACGAGAGUUCUGGAGCUCCGUGAGGGUAGCUAAGGAAGCAAAUGGGAUGGGCUCUGCCAGGCUUAGGAAGGAAGAGGUGGUGUCUGAGCACUCACCUGGACUUCUGCAAGGUCAGCAAACACAGGAGCAGUCGCUGAGCAGCGGUGCAAACACACCAGCUCUCCAACGGGUGCUUCACUGCACUUCCCUGCAGAGACCAUUCUAAACCAAACUCAGCGCCUGGGAAGGCUCUGCCCCUCAGGAUCUGCCCCUCAUCCUUGUGGCCUAUUGCUGUCGACCUGACUGGAUGGAGGGGUCCCUAGAUGGCUGGUGUGUCUGUGAGGGUGUUUCCAGGGGAGAUGGCAUGGAGGUCAGUGGGCUGAGAGGGGAAGAUCUGCCCUCAAUGUGGGUGGGCACCACCCAACGGCUGGGGGCCCAGUAGGGACAAAGCAGACAGAAGGGGAACAUUCAGCUCCCUCUUGCUUCCCCUCCCUUCUGGAGGGAGACACUUUUUCUCCUCCUGCCCUUGGACAUCAGGCUUCAGGUCCUUCUGCCUUUGGACUCUGCAACCCCCUGGGGGCUCUCAGACCUUCAGCCUCAGACUAGGGGCUGCACUGUCGGCUCCCCUGGUUCUGAGGCGUUCAGACUUGGACUGAGCCACGUUACCGGCUCCUCUGGUUCUGCGGCUUGUAAACAGCCUGUCAUGGGACUUUGCCUUCGCAACCAUGAGUAACCUCUGAAGACCAGCCCUCAAGUUUCAAGGCCCUGCCAGCCGCUCUGGCCAUCUCCACACCUCCAAGGUUCCAGAGAGGAAAGUUCAAGGAAAGAGUUUUCUCUGUUGGCCCAUUCAGGCCCGGGUAGGCCAGAGGUGGCCAGCAGACCUGACAUCUGGAAAUACAGUGGCUGCACGCAAAAGAUUACAGGCCUUUCCAAAGCAAAGCUGCCGAACCCCUCGGGGACCAUCUUCCUGGGCUGAUGCACUGAGGACCCCUGGCCCUUGGCAGGGUCUUCUGCAGGGGAAACUAAAUCCCACCAGCAAAUGUCAAUGCAUGCAAUCGUGACAGGCCACAAGUCACUGCCAAUCCAAAACCUACUCUUUCACAAAUCCCAGAACAGACUUUUAUUAGGUAUGAGCCACUAGCGUGAAUGUAGCUGCCACUACUUAAGAAAUUGGAAUUUAAGCCCCUCUCUCCUGUAUGUGGGAACAUGAAGGUUUGUUUUGGCAUUCAGAUCUGUUUCCAAUCCAACUGUUAGAAAAAUCACAUUAGGCAGGGGUGAACAUUAUACGGGAGUGUGGAUCACAUCUUGUUUUGCAAUACCCCACAGUGUCUCACUUAUAUCAAGAGGAGGCUGUGAAAAUCUUACAACAUUCCUCUGAAAAAUGAGCUUUCAUUCUCCGACAAGGACAUGUGAGAUUUUGGUUCAGGAGACACUUGGAGAGACGACCAAGCCAGACAGCACACAGCCCUUCCUAGGAGAGAUGGGAAGGUGAGCAGAGACUGGCCCAAUAGCAGCAGGUCACAUGCCAUGAACGUGAUGUGUUGGGAGGAUGGGGGUUGCUCCCCACAGGGACACCUCUGCAUCAAAAGUGCUGGGUAAUUUGGGAGGCCGAGGCAGGCGGAUCACCUGAGGUCAGGAGUUCGAGACCAGCCUGGCCAACAUGGUGAAACCCUGUCUUUACUAAAAAUGCAAAGUAGCCUGGCGUGGUGGCACGUGCCUGUAAUCCCAGCUACCUGGGAGGCUGAGGCAGAAGAAUCACUGGAACCCGGGAGGUGGAGGCUGCACUGAGCCGAGAUUGCACCAUUGCACUCCAGCCUGGGCGACAUCCAUCUCAAACAAAAGAGUGCUGGGUGAGAGGUGACUUGCUGCCUGGUUCCCCAAACAAGAAGGCUCUGCUCCCCGGUACAUCCCUAACACCUUCAAACAGCCCCUUUCCACCUCAUCCAGUAUUUAGCAGCCCUCCUCUGUUAGUCACAGCAGUUGCCCUCCUGAGCCAGGCUUUGGAAGACCCCUGACAUCGAGGUGGGCCACAGGGAACAAUGACAUUUUCCCACCUGCACCAGCACACGCACAUCUGCCUCUGGGUCCCGGAACGCCCAGAGACACAUGUGGAUGGCAUCAAAUGGUAGGUGAGGGUACAGAGUUUUCAGCCCCAAUAAUGACAUGCCCAUAGUCAGAUGUGGGUCUCGCAAAGCUGGGGUCACCAGAGACACUGCCAGUGUCUGGGACCAGCCUCCUCCUGGGCCUGCAGGUUGAGGUUUGCCCAGGACCCUGGCACUCAGUCUCCAUGUGGGUAGUUGUUAGACAUCAGCCUGCCGCCAGGCAUGAAGCUGUGCUCCCUGCACUGCAGGCUCCCUGCACCCCGCCCAUCAGCAGCAGGGCUCCCGGUGUGGCUGAGAUGUCAGAGGCACCCUCUGCACAGCCUGAGAUGGGACUAGUGAGGCCAUGAUGAACUGUAAUUCAGAGAGGAUGAAUUUGGGUUACAGAGGUUAAUAUUCUGCUCAUGGUGAGAAUCAUAAGUGAUCAAAGUCAAGGGCAUAGAGGAUGGUCUGACAUAGCCCCAGACCUGAGGCCAAUCGUGAACUUCAGUGAGGGAAAGACCCAGAGGCACUACUGGAAUGAAUGAAUUAAUGAAUGAAUGUAAGAACAUUUAAACUUAACAGCCCGAAUCCUCUGGAGAGAUGCUAGAUGCCACUCUGAGAUGGGGGAGAAGGGUGGGGAGUUGACUGUAGGGCACCAAUGCAUGGAAAACAGACUGGGAAGGAAUUUGCUAGCCUCAGAUUAUGAGGGAGGCUAGAACCAUAGGGAUGGAAGAAGCUGGUCAAGGAGAGUGGGAAGGGGGAGGAAGGAGAGAGGGCACGGGGACCAAGAAACAGCAAGCUGCAAUAUGAAAAUAGUGGGGGCUGAGCUAGAGAGGCUCAGGAGACAGGGUAAGUAAAAGAUGGGAAGGAAUCCCCAUAGCAUUGACAAUGGUUAACAUCUGUGAAUGCUUUCUAGCCGUUCCAAGCACCUUCCCUAUAUUGAGUCUUUUAGUCCUCAUGACAACUUUGGGCAAUAGACACUAUUACUUUUCCUAUUUUUCAGAUGAGAAAACUACAGCCCAGAGAGGGAAGUAACUUUGCUGAAAUAAGUAAGUCUAUGGUAAGUGGCAGAGAGAUACGAACCAGGCAGUCGAGCUCCAAACCCAUGUUCUUAAGUGCUUCAUUUCACCCCUUUGGUCAGAAGGGAUAGUCAAUAACUGAAUCAACGCAUGGGACAGGGUAGGAGGCAGGAUUCUCACUGAACGAGCUUGUCCAGGGUACCUGAGUGCUGCCAUCCAUAAUAUGAGGGAUUAAAAUACCGACCCCCUUUCACCUGCUGGGAACAGAAUGUGUGUUAGUAUACUCUCAACUCUCUGGGGAAAUGUCUUAGUAUAUACACGGUUUAGUUUUUAAUCUUAAACAAGAUGAGGCCCCGAAGCCACUCACUCUGCCCCUGCUCCACAAUGAAGGGAAAGGGAGGUAAAUGGAGACUCCAGUUCAGAACAGUCUGGACACAGCUGCCCAUGAGAAAGAAGGGCAGAGAAAGGAAUGCCUUCUUGUUCUACGGGAAGCCACGCUCACUUACUCAUGUCUUAGGGAUGAAGCUUCAGAAGUUGUAGCCGGACUAAUUUGCAUAAAUAUUUCAGAUUAAUCUUUUUUGAUAUUUUAAGAAUACAUGGGAAGAAAAUGUAAAUGUAAAAUAUUUAUAAACUUUAACUUAUUUUACUUAUAACUUGCCUCUUCCCAUAAAAGAGCUAUUUAGGUAGAUAUGCUAUAAAUGUUACUAUAGACAUACAAGUAGAAAUCAUGACUAUGACAAAGAGGAGGAAGCCCAUUCUAAGGACUAAACAAGCCAAUAUGAUUUGGCAUCUGUUUUUAAUCAAUGACUGCUUCCUGGCAGCUUGGGCAAAAAGGGAAAUAAGAUGUAUUACAAAGCUCUUGCCAUAGACAGAGGAAGUAGGCUAAUCCCUCUGGCAAAACAAAGCUUUUCCUGGCACUCAAUUCUGAAAGAAAUUUCUCAUGUGAAAUCUUACAUAAAAAACACAGUGACUAAUAGCCUUCUGAAACAUGGGAGCGUGAGACCUGAUUUUUAAGGCCCAGUGGCUUCAUUGGGCCUCUCUGAGAGGAUCCUUGUCCUCCUGAGACACAUUGUCUUAAGCUCCUAGAAUUCCAUUUGGUUUCCUGGCUGAGGACUGAAAAAUCUCAUCUCAGAACUCUACGUCUGGUAUAAUGGCUGUCACGGUGUUCUGUGGAUAGGAAACACUCUUUGAGUCAGUACUGCUACCAAAAGAAGCAAAUGGUUUGUCAAGGAUCCCACCCACUACAUAGAAAACAAAACCAUGAGCUGUGCAGUGCCAGAGCAGCAAGGAACCUGAGGAGCCACGCGGUCCUAAUGGCAACAGAGGCAUCGCUAUCAGGACACAGAGCCUCAAGUCAACAGCAAAGGAAACUGGGCUGGAAUGUCCAGCUUUGCUGCAUCAAGAUCCUCAGAAAUGGCUCAUAUAGUUCCACAGCAGUGUAUCCCCAGGGCUGCUGGCCGUUGGAGAAGCAAAUCUGACCUGGAGGAAAAAUUCUCCAAUUUAGAGUAAGGAGUCCCACAAAUGAUGGUCAAGCAAUGAGCUCAUAAUCAAAGAUUAACGUGGAAGAAGGCAAGGCCCUGUGGAUGAGAGUCAGGAGAAACAAGAAGCAACAAAGAUGUCUCUCCUCCAUACCGAAAUGACCAGAAAUGGAAUUACAGAACAGCUACACAUAAAAUGUUUACAGAAACAUGUAAUCACAAAGAUAAGGAAACAAGAAGAGACUACGAGGACUGAGUAAGAAGUUUUGGGGGAAAUGUAGCAUCUAUACACAAAAAGUAUAAUGGUUGAAAUAAAAACAUUUAAUGGGUGAGUUAAAUAGGAGAUUAGAUAAAGCUGAAGAAUUAAUGAACUGGAACAUAUAUCAAAUAUAUUACCAAGAAUGCAAUUUUAUUAAGACAUAAUGUGGAAAAUAAAAAUGACAUAUGAAGAACAGAAUGAGUCCCAAAAAGAAAGAAUAAAAAAAUUGGAGAAAAGGCAUAUUUAAAAGAGAAUAUAUAUAAAUUUCCUAUGACCAAGUUGAAGAAAAAGAAUAAAUUCACAACUCUAGGAAGCAAAACAUCUGAAACAGGAUAAAUAAAAAGAAAUCAACACCUAUGUACAACAACAGUACCCAACAUCAAGACAAAGAAAAGAUCUUAAAAGUAUUUAUAGACUCUGGGUGCGGUGGCUCACACCAAUAAUCCCAGCAGUUUGGGAGGCCAAGGUGAGAGAUCAUUUGAGCUUAGGAGUUCGAGACCAGCCUGGCAACAUGGCGAGACCCUGUCUUUAUUUAAAUAUAUAUAUAUAUAUAUAUAUAUAUAUAUAUAUAUAUAUAUAUAUAUAUAUAAAAGAACUUAAAAAUAAAAAAAUAAAAAUAAAAAAUUAAAGAAACACAUUUUACCUUUAAAGGCAUGACUAUUAGAAUGACAACAGAUUUAUCAACACAAAUACUAGAAGCCAGCAAAUGGUAGAAUAUCCUCCGAGUGUUGAAAAAAAAGUAUCUGACAGCCUAAAAUUAUGUGUCCAGUAAAACUAACAAUUAGGCUUUGUGCAUCUUACUAUUUAUUAAGUUUACUUCAAUAAAAAAUGAGAAAAAUAGUAGAGUGUGUGUAUUACAACUGAUAGAAACAAAUGAAAAGAAGGGAAUAUAAACACAAAAUAAGAUCAUUAUAAAGGUGAGAACUAGAUAAGCCUAGAAAAAGUGAGACAAUUGGAAAUAUUUUUAAAAUAUUUUUAAGUCCGAAUAAAUCAAUAAAUACUACAUAUCUAAGUAGAGUAAAAUUAUUAGGUAAAAGAAACAGAUUGACAAUUGGAUGAUUAAAAAAUCCAACUAUGUACUGUUUACAGGAGACAUGCCUAACGCAUAAAGGACAUAGACAUAUUAAAAGCAAAAAGUGGCUGGGCACUGUGGCUCACACCUGUAAUUCCAGCACUUUGGGAGGCUGAGGCGAGUGGAUCACCUGAGGUCAGGAGUUCAAGACCAUCCUGGCCAACGGUGAAACCCCAUCUCUUCUAAAAAAAAAAAAAAAUUAAUCAGACAUGGUGGUCCUUGCCUGUAAUCCCAGCUACUCAGGAGGAUGAGGCAGGAGAAUUGUUUGAACCUGGGAGGCGGAGGUUGCAGUGAGCUGAGAUCAUGCCACUGCACUCCAGCCUCAGUGACAGAGUGAGAUUCCAUCUCAAAAAUAUAAAUAAAUAAAAUAAAAGCAAAAAGCUUUAAAAACACAUCUGACUAAUAUCAGCCAAAAAAGGAAAGAAAACAGAAAAAACACCCACACAUAAAACCCCACAAAAAUAUCAACACUCUCAGAGAGAUUUUUUAAACGCGCCUAUGAAACCGGACAUGGUGCUAUUUUAAAAAUUAGAGGAUGAAAGAGAUCUCGCUGCCUGAAAAGGAGGAGAAGGGAGGGAUAAUUUUACAGCGGAAAAAUCAGACACACGUUGCCCCACCAGAUGACUCAAGCUCAACAUCAGCAGCGAUGUCACGCUGAUCUUACGUGCCUUGAUACACUGUGAUGAGGAUACUUCACCUCUGUGACCCUCCUCCUACAUCUCCAUCAGCCCAGUUCAACCAUGAGAAAAACAUCAAACAAACCCAAGUUCAGGAACAUUCUACAAAAUACCUGACCAGUACUCCUCAAAACUGUCAAGGUCAUCAAAAACAAAGUCUGAGAAUUUAUCACAGCUAAGAGGAACCCAGGAAGAUAUGACCACGACUGUAACGUGGCAUCACACAAACUGUCAUGUCAGUCUCUUAAAAAGUUAAUCGUAUACCUAAUAAAUGAUCAACCAUUUGACUCCAAGGAAAUGAAAGCAUGUGUUCAUACAGAGACUGGUCCAAGAAUGUUCCUAGCAGCCUUCUUUGUAAUAGAUAAAAAACUGGCAACAAUCCACAUAUCUAUCAAUUAGCAAAAGGAUAAACAAAUUGUGUUAGAGACAUGCAAUAGAAUAGUACUUGACAAUAAAAAAGAACAAAUUAUUUAUAAAUGCUACACCAUGGGUGAAUCUUGAUAUAAUUACGCUGAAUGAAAGAAACCAUAUCAAGCAAAAUGGUCCAUACUGUAUGAUUACAGUUACAUAGACUUCUUGGAAGCCCAUAAUAAGUUAUAGUAACAGAAAGUUGGUAAGUGGUCACCUGGGAAUGGAGAGAGGGUGGGGAGGUACAGGGAGGAAGGAUUACAAAGAGGCAGGAGGCAGAGCUUACUCUGUGGAGAAGCAAAAAAUAAAACGAAGAGGCAGGAAGGAACUUUUAGGGUGAUGUAUAUGUUUAUUUUCUUUACUGUAGUGAUGGUUUCAUGAGUGUAUGUAUACAUAUAUGUCAAACUUACCAAACUGUACACUUUAAAUGUUAAUUUUCCAUUAUAUUUCAAUGAGACUGUUUAAAAAUAUGAAAUUGAGGCUGAGUGUGGUAGCUUGGGCCUAUAAUCUCAACACUUUGGGAAGCCGAGGCGGGAGGGUCACUUAAGGCCAGGAGUUGGAGACCAGCUUAGGCAACAAAGCAAGACCCCAUCUCUACAAAAAAAAAAAAAAAAAAAAAAUGGUUUUAAUUAGCCGAGUACUGUGGUGCCUGCCUCUAGUCCCAACUACUUGAGAGGCUGAGGUGGGAGAAUCACUUGAGCCCAGGAGUUCGAGGUAGUAGUGAGCCAUGAUUGCACCACUGUACUCUAGGCUGGGAGGAAGAGCAAGAACCUGUCUCAAAAAACAAACCAAAACAAAAAACAACAAAACCCAGAAAAAGAAAAAAAAAAAAAAGAAAUUGGAUCCCUACCCCAUAACAUACACCAAAAUCAAUUCCAGGUAGAUAAACAACUUAAAUGUGAAAAGCAAAAACAUUAAAAUUUUUAGAAGAAAUUAUGAGAGAUUCUCUCUCUAAACUUGGAGUAAGAAAAUGUUCCUUAAACAAGAAACAAAAAGCACUAACCCUAAAAUGAAAAAACAAACAAAAGACAGAUAAGUGCAACUAGAUUAAAAUCAAGAACAUCUGUCAAAACAGAUGUCAAAAAUACAAUGAAGAAAGUCACAAACUGCGAAAUAUUUUCAAUAGGUGUAACAUGACUUCUCGACUAAGGAUUAGUAUUCACAAUACAUAAAGAACUCUUACAAGUCAAUAGGGCCCAGUUUCUAGGUAGAUGGAGUAGAUAUAGUUUUCCCUGUUUCUCCCACUAUGCACAAAUAAAAGCCCAGGGCAUUAUCUAUAAAAUAUGCAUAUAAAAAUGUAAGAAGACUCUUACCAUGAAGAGAAGACAGGCCAACUAGGGACCUUGGGACCCAAGGAAUGAUACAGCAGUCAGUUUUCUGGCUUUUCUUUUUACCUCAUAUUUCCCAGACUUGGAGCUGAGGAAAUGAGUAACCUGGAAACACUAAAAGGCACAGACCAAAAAAAGCCCCAACAGGCCGGGCACAGUGGCUCACGCCUGUAAUCCCAGCACUUUGGGAGGCCUGGGUGGGUGAAUCACCUGAGGUCAGGAGUUCGAGACCAGCCUGGUCAACAUGAUGAAAUGUCUCUACUAAAAAUACAAAAAAUUAGCCAGGCAUGGUGGCGGGCGUCUGCAGUCCCAGCUACUCGGGAGGCUGAGGCAGAAGAAUCGCUUAGAGCCCGGGAGGUUGCAGUGAGCCAGAUUGUGCCACUGCACUCCAGCCUGGGUGACAGAGAAAGGCUCUGUCUCAAAAAAAAAAAAAAAGUCCCAGCAAAAGCCUGCUCUUUCUAGCCAAAGGACCAGGGAAGGGGCAUCCUGGUAUGAUAGAGGGCAUUAGGCAACUGCCACUCUAGUCCCUCAAGAGGCUGUGCUGAGGUACGCCAACACCCCUGCUGGGGUAGCCUCAGACAAGGUUAAGUAGGGAGCUGGGCCUUCAUGUGAGCAGGCCAGUGACAAGGCCCCACCUGGGGCACCACUGGAGACCAGGAACUCCCACCCAGCCAGCCCAGCACUAAUCAGGGCCCUGCCUUGGGUGUCAGCAGAGGCCUUGCGGGGAGCCUGGACUUCCACCUCCACCCGCAGUGGGCGGCACCCACCCUUCCCCUACAGGGCCGUGUCAGGGAAGGACGGCUAAAACAGAAGGGCACUAAGAAGGUGUCAAUAGGACAAAGACCGACAAUCUGAUAGGGAAUAGGCAAAAUACAAGCAUAGAAAAGAAGAUAAGAAUCACGCUACCUUCUUAAGCUGCUUCCAUGAUCAAUGAUCUGUACUUAAAAUCAUUUUCACAUAUGGUAAGUAGCAAACAAGAGGUGGUAUUCUUUCUUGAGAUGGAGUCUCGCUCUGUCGCCCAGGCUGGAGUGCAGUGGCGUGAUCUCGGCCCACUGCAAGCUCUGCCUCCCAGGUUCACGCCAUUCUCCUGCCUCAGCCUCCCUAGCAGCUGGGACUACAGGCGCCCGCCACCACGCCCG
rnacentral:lncRNA from 10 species